GCUCAGCCAUAAACCUUGACGUCCAACUACGAUUGACGUCCGCCCGGGUACUACGAGCAUUAGCUUGAAACCCAAAAGACCUGACGGUGCCUUAGACCCCCCUAGAGGAGCCUGUUCUAGAACCGAUAACCCUCGUUAAACCUCACCACUUCUAGCCACCCCAGCCUAUAUACCGCCGUCGUCAGCUUACCCUGUGAAGGCAAUAAAAGUAAGCAAAAUGGGCACAACCCAGAACGUCAGGUCGAGGUGUAGCGUACGAAGUGGGAAGAAAUGGGCUACAUUUUCUAUUAUAGAACACUACGAAUAUGCAACAUGAAAUAGUGCUUGAAGGAGGAUUUAGUAGUAAAAAGGAAGCAGAGUGUCCUUUUGAACCCGGCUCUGAGGCGCGU
rnacentral:rRNA from 1 species